AUUCACAAAAUCUCUAUAAUUCGUUUUCUCCCAUAUCAUACUCUUUCUUUUCAAAUGUUCUCCUUCUAGUCUCUCACCACCCGUAAGACAAAACCAUCGCCGGCACAAUUCUUGCCGGAAAGUAUGGUCGGUACAAAUCUGUAUCAGAUCUGUCCAAUAAAGAUCAAAUUGAGCAACGUCCAACUAUUUCUGGCGUCUUCCAGUGAUUUCGGGAGAUCUCCAGGAAUCUGACAACAUACACUCCAACAUACACUCCAAUAAAGACCAGAUAUGGAAACAUCCAUCCAAUUCUGGCGUCUUCCAACAAUUUCUGGUGACUUUCGAUGACAUGCAACAAUUCCGAUGACUUCCAAAUUUAGGAUUUAUUUCAUUUAAGUCGAGGAUCAUUUGGAAACUGUAUGCUUACCUUCAUAAGGUGGUGCUUUGGGGCUUAUACCUUAAGGUGAAAGUUGGAGUUCUAGUGCAAAUGCAAAUGUGAGGACCAGCUUAAGGAGGCAUCAGACAUUAAUGUUACUCUGAUAGGUCCCCAUGAUGUACCGUGAUUCCAGUUAGGUGGAAUCAAGGAAGUUCAAUGCCCUUACAUUGCAUAGGUUAUAGCUCGGGGAUGUCUUAUUGGGCCAAGUCUGGUAGCACAAGUAUGAAGAAAGAUUUGACCAUUCAAGCCAAGCAUUGUCUCAACUUUGUGUGUUCAUGCUUGAUUUCUUCCAUAAAUGAUACCAAAAUAGCCAUUCACAAAGAGAUACUUGUGGCUUGUAGCUUCAAUCACAUCUUGAUAAAUCUAGGUGAAAUCAUUGGGGAGGAGAUAAAAAAAGUGUGCACGUCAAAAUGAGACUUCAUUGUUAAAGAAUGACAAAAUCUCAUUUUGGUGGUUAAUGAGAUGGGUGGAGUCCUUAUAAGAAUUGGGAAAUCCUCCUCCCUUUGAGCUAGCUUUUGGUGUGUGAGAUAAGCCUAUGAACUAAUUUAAAAUUGUAUCAUAGCAGAGACUUUCUCACCCAAUGUUGGGCCGCUCCAAAAAUAAAAAAAUGUCCAUGCACUAGAUAUUAAGCACUGCACGUGAGGUGGGGUGUUAAGAAUGGAAAAAGUCUCACACGCUGGUAAAAGAGAUGAGUUGAUUCCUUAUAAGGCUUGGACAAUCAUCCUCCAUUUGAGAUAGCUUUUGGUGUCUGAAUUAAGCCUUAGACUUAAUUUAACAGUAUCUGGUUAAUUUUGCAAAAAUUUUUGUUUUCUAUUUUGAGUAGUAUAAAUAUGGAUGUAGUUAAUGAUUGUAAUCAUCUCAAGUGGCCUUAAGUAGCCUAUAUAAAACAAAAGCACUCUCUGGGAAAGAACUCUCCUUCUAUAUUUCCUACAGAUACAUGUAUCGCAAAUAACUAGACAUAUAUAUAUAUUACAGAACCCUAAAAGACUUCCUAAAAAAUUAAGAGACAAUAUUGAAAGACAAAACAUCAAUAUGUGAAUGCACUAAUUCCAACAAUGCUCGUUAGUGCAUUUAUUUGACAACUCUAAUGCCUUCUCGAAGAUGGAAAAUCUUUUCUUCCGAAAGUGCUUUAGUGAAGAUGUCAGAAAGUCAUUCUCUUGUCUGACAAUAAUUAUAACUGAAUUUCAUCUUUCUCUUGUUCUUUCCAAUAUCUCCUUCUUGAUUGAGUUUGGUUUUUAUAAGUCCACUUUAAACUUAUAACUUCUCUUUCUUUGGGUAUAUAUUCACAUACACUCAAGUUAUUUUUCUAAAUGAUUCGAAUUUUUCUGUUAAGAUUUUCUUCUAAACAUCAUGUUUUAUUGCCUCCUCAUAAUUUUCUUUCUCAACACAAGCAAAAUUACAUCUUAGAUAAAUGUCACUCAACGGUUUUGUAUGUCUUAGAGGUGGUUCUUCAUCAUUUGAAUCUGAGAUGUGAGGGUCAUCUUCCUCUUUCUUAUCCUCUUUUUGAUUUAAUAAAGAUAUGAUAAAAUUAUUCUCUACCUUAAUCUCAAUAUGCAUCUGCGGAAGGUCGUGCACUAUGUCGUUUUGCUUGAGAAGCUUUCAAACCUUGAAAAUUCAAGUGACAAGAUCUUUUGUGCCAAAGUCAUGAAUCAUCUGCAACUUCAUUUUUGAAUGCAUUGUAAUGAAAUUACAAAGGAAAUUUUCUUUUUAUCAUCUGUACUUCGAUAAUGACUUGAUUUGGAUCAAUUUUAUAGCAAAUCUUGCACUAAUUAUCUCUAAACACAAGAGUAGCCAAUUUCCAUGAACUGACCAAUACUAAUCAAACUUUCAUGGGUACCAUUAUACACUACAUGUAUCUAUAGGAAAUGUAAAAGGAAAAUACUUACUUAGAGAGUGCUCAAGUUUUAUAUAGACUAUUUAAGGUUACUUGAGAUGAUUAUAAUCAUUAACUACAACCCUAUUUAUACUACUCAAAAUAAUAAAUUUUAUCUUUUGCACAAUUAACGAGAUACAUGUAUUACAAAAUUCUAAAAGACUUCUUGAAAAACUAAGAGACAAUAUUGAAACACUAAACAUCAAAGUGUGAAUACACUAUUUCCAACAAUUCCACUUAAUGCAUUUAUUUGAAAACUCUAAGGCUUCUCGAAGAUGGAAAAACUUUUCUUUCGGAAGUACUUUGGUGAAUGUCGCCUUUCUGUUGUGCUUUUGAAUAUCUCCUUCUUGAUUGAAUUUGGUUUUAUAAAUACGUUUUAGACUUAGAACUUCUCUUUCUUUGGGUAUAUAUUCACACACUCCCAAGUUUUUUUUCUCAAUCAUUCGAUUUUUUUCUGCCAAGGCUUUCUUCCAAACAUCAUGUUUUAUUGCCUCCUCAUAAUUUUGUUCCUCAACACUGACAAAGUUGCAUUUUUGAUAAAUGUCACCCAACAUUUUUUUUACCUCUUGGAGGUGGUUCUUCAUCAGAAUUUGAGAUUUCUCACCCUUGAGGGACAUCUUCCUCUUUCUCAUCCUCUUCUUGAUUUGACACAUCUAUGAAAAGCCUUUUUAAAGAUAGAAAAUUUAUGUUUUAUAAGAGCUCAAAAUAGUGUAAAUUGUUAUAUGUGCUACAAAAGACAUUUGUCAAAUUGCCAAGAGUUCAAGUCUUCUUCUCACCUAAUAGGAAUGUAUUUUCUUGAUGACAAGAAAUAACUUAUGUUUGGGAUUUUAAUAAGUUGGUGUUUACCAACUUAAUGAAUCUCUUGGAAAUUGAUAAUUUGGGGACCGAAGUUGAUACAUAGUAGAGAAGAAGAUCUAAUUCUACUUUUAGCUUAUUUGAGAAGAAAAUUAUACAACUAUUAAAGCUUAGGAUUUAUUUUACUUGAAUUGAAGAGUUACUAACCAUUGAUUAUUUUACUUGAAAAAUGGGUAAAAGUUUUAAGAAGGAUUCAUUAGCAAGGAUUUGGGCUUUUACCCAUUUGAUAAUUGCUGCUAGAAAUAGAGUAGUUUACUUGAGCUAAAUUGGUUGUUUAAUUUGAAACAUUUUGGGGUUUGGAAAAAUCAAAAGAGAAUUGCCUUUUUAUAUUGGGAAAUUGUAAAUUCAGUCGAAGUCAAUGUUACCCAUGUCAAUAUCGUUUCAUAUUCAAAUGUGAUAAUCCAAUUGGAUGUUAUAGACCCAUGCUAUCAACUGUUUGAAUCAGAUUUUAUAAUAUAGUUCAAUUUAAAUAUGUAAGAUAAUGUAGUUUCCCCAACCCCCUCCCCCAAAUUUAAUUUCCCGCUGCAAACAAAUAAUGAAACAUAGACAUAGAAAUCACUCUUAUUUUCUUGGAUUCGAUCCUGACUUAAAGUUGAUAUAAAAAUAUAUUGUAAAGGACUAUUUCUAUUUCUUUUAAAAAGAUAUUAGUACAUUACCAUCUCACCCCUUAGACACAAGAUAGGCCUCAUGGUACACCCUAUGCAAAUUUGGGUACAAUUGAGGAAAACUUUGGGGUUAACCCAGCCUGGUACACUUAUUUAAAAACUCAUCCCCCAAUUUCUCCCCUCAUUUUUUCACUUCUUGCACCACUAUUCUUGCAAUUUCUCUCAAAUAAAACCGUGAAGCACACUCUAUUUUCAAUCUUCUUCUUCUAUAACUUUAUUAAGCUUCAAGAUCUGAGCGCCAACUAACAAUGAUGAUUUUUUAUACUGCAGCAGGGGCUUUCGGAGAUAGAGGUUGACCUGAUGGCAUCCUAGCUAGUUUGACUCAUCUCCCUAUGUAUAUAGUUUUGGAUAGUAUUUUGAGUCCAAGAUAAGUUUGUACUUAUUUUGGUUAUUUUGUAGCUUGUACUCUUUUAUUAGCUUUGUACCUACGGUCACUAGGUUGUGGGAUUGUAUUUGUAUAUUUGUAUAUAUCUAUGUCAUUUCCUUGUUUCCAUUA